GAACGCUGGCGGCAGGCCUAACACAUGCAAGUCGAGCGCGAACGGUCCUUCGGGACUUAUUAGAGCGGCGGACGGGUGAGUAAUGCAUAGGAAUCCGCCCAGUAGUGGGNNAUAGCCCGGGGAAACCCGGAUUAAUACCGCAUACGUCCUACGGGAGAAAGCAGGGGAUCUUCGGACCUUGCGCUAUUGGAUGAGCCUAUGUCGGAUUAGCUUGUUGGUGGGGUAACGGCCCACCAAGGCGACGAUCCGUAGCUGGUCUGAGAGGAUGAUCAGCCACACUGGGACUGAGACACGGCCCAGACUCCUACGGGAGGCAGCAGUGGGGAAUAUUGCACAAUGGGGGAAACCCUGAUGCAGCCAUGCCGCGUGUGUGAAGAAGGCCUUCGGGUUGUAAAGCACUUUCAGUAGGGAGGAAGGCCCUAAAGUUAAUACCUUUAGGGAUUGACGUUACCUACAGAAGAAGCACCGGCUAACUCCGUGCCAGCAGCCGCGGUAAUAC
rnacentral:rRNA from 1 species